UACGGAGGGUGCAAACGUUGUUCGGAUUUAUUGGGCGUAAAGGGCGCGUAGGCGGAAUGGAAAGUCAGGUGUGAAAUCUCACAGCUCAACUGUGAAACUGCGCCUGAAACUCCUAUUCUAGAAUCUCGGAGGGGGAUGGGGAAUUUCUCAUGUAGGGGUAAAAUCCGUAGAGAUGAGAAGGAACACCAGAGGCGAAGGCGCCAUCCUGGACGAGUAUUGACGCUGAGGCGCGAAAGCGUGGGGAGCAAACAGG
rnacentral:misc_RNA from 1 species